rnacentral:lncRNA from 1 species
CACCGAUGCCCAUUUAACAAGCAAUUAAAAUUCUAAAGAGACAAUAUAUAUGGCUCUAUUCCAAUAGCCAAAAUGAUUGCAGUUUCAAUUUGUGUAACUUCUAAUUAAUUAUCUACUCUCCUCAGCUUUACUUGCUGUUUCUUGCUUUCUCUUUCUUGAUCAGUUUCAGAAAUCAUGCAAUGAAAGGAAUAGGAAACACAAUCAAUUAUUGCAAAAAGAAUUGAAUCUCAGAAUUUUCUCCAUUCACCAAGCUUCAGGUAAUGAAACUGAACAAUUGCAUUAUUUUCUAAAUGGUUCAUUAUGGUUAUUAUUCUGAAAUAGUUUCUUGAAUUUAAUCGACUAGAUUUCUGUACAUUUUUCAAAAUUUCUGCGCUAGCAGCAGCUUUCUCAACAAGUCCGUAGCUGAUAAUCAACACACAGAGAGCAAAGGUAUAUAUGUCUGUUAUGCACAUUUAUUUCAGUUCUUUAUUUUGUUUAAUCUUUUUUCUUAGUUCUAGGUGAAGAAAAAGUUAAUCCAAGUGGAAUCUAAUUCUGGAUAACUCUAUUAUCUGCCUCGUGAUGCAAUGAAGCAUGGAGAAGUUGAUUAACAUUUUAGAACUCGUUGAAUCAGAUUUGAAUAUUAAGAAUUGGACACAAUAUAGAAUAAAAUCUCUCAAUAUUUUAUUUCAUAAGAAUUAUCAACAGAAAAAACUUAUCCCAGUUACUAUGAUAUUGAAGGGAAUAUAUGAAAUAUUAACGUUCUUUAAUCUUUCCUGGAGUUUUUUCCCACUUUUUUAACUGUUCCCCUCUUUUUUCAUAAAGAUGAAAUAAAUUUGUAAUUAAAUUCUUUUCUAAUGGUUGAUUAUUAAUUAAUAAAUUUCAAUAGGUUAAGAUUAAUCUUUUAUAACAGUAUUUUAUAUUUUUAUUUUUUCCCAGUGUGGGUUUUUCCUUUUUCGUUGUUGCAUGGGUCCAUUGUGAAAUUUCAUUGUUAUUUUUAUUUGAUAAGUAUGGA